AACUGAGAAUAAUGUCCGAUAGAACACUAUACCUGGAAUGGUUUGUGUUCCAAAUGAUUUAUCGCCGUAGGAUGGGACUGCGGCCUAUCAGUUUGUUGGUGAGGUAAUGGCCCACCAAGACUAUUACAGGUACGGGCUCUGAGAGGAGUAGCCCGGAGAUGGGUACUGAGACACGGACCCAGGCCCUAUGGGGCGCAGCAGGCGAGAAAACUUUGCAAUGUGCGAAAGCACGACAAGGUUAAUCCGAGUGAUUUGUGCUAAACGAAUCUUUUGUUAGUCUUAGAACCACUAACGAAUAAGGGGUGGGCAAGUUCUGGUGUCAGCCGCCGCGGUAAAACCAGCACCUCAAGUGGUCAGGAUGAUUAUUGGGCCUAAAGCAUCCGUAGCCGGCUCUAUAAGUUUUCGGUUAAAUCUGUACGCUCAACGUACAGGCUGCCGGGAAUACUGCAGAGCUAGGGAGUGGGAGAGGUAGACGGUACUCGGAAGGAAGGGGUAAAAUCCUUUGAUCUUUUGAUGACCACCUGUGGCGAAGGCGGUCUACCAGAACACGUCCGACGGUGAGGGAUGAAAGCUGGGGGAGCAAACCGGAUUAGAUACCCGGGUAGUCCCAGCUGUAAACUAUGCAAACUCAGUGAUGCAUUGACUUGUGGUCAAUGCAGUGCUGCAGGGAAGCCGUUAAGUUUGCCGCCUGGGAAGUACGUACGCAAGUAUGAAACUUA
rnacentral:rRNA from 1 species